AACGAACGCUGGCGGCAUGCCUAACACAUGCAAGUCGAACGAGACCUUCGGGUCUAGUGGCGCAUGGGUGCGUAACGCGUGGGAACCUGCCCUUAGGUUCGGAAUAACUCCCCGAAAGGGGUGCUAAUACCGGAUAAUGUCUUCGGACCAAAGAUUUAUCGCCUUUGGAUGGGCCCGCGUUGGAUUAGCUAGUUGGUAGGGUAAAAGCCUACCAAGGCGACGAUCCAUAGCUGGUCUGAGAGGAUGAUCAGCCACACUGGGACUGAGACACGGCCCAGACUCCUACGGGAGGCAGAAGUGGGGAAUAUUGGACAAUGGGAGAAAGCCUGAUCCAGCAAUGCCGCGUGAGUGAUGAAGGCCUUAGGGUUGUAAAGCUCUUUUACCCGGGAUGAUAAUGACAGUACCGGGAGAAUAAGCUCCGGCUAACUCCGUG
rnacentral:rRNA from 1 species